rnacentral:tRNA from 1 species
UAUAUUUAGGUGUAAGAUGCACAUGAACUUUUGAUGUUUAUGGAGAUAGUUUGAUUCUAUCAAUUAUAA